UUGUCAAAAAAGUAUACUCGAUUCAAAAUCUGAUUAAAAAAAACCCAACCCUAUAAAUCAAAUUGGAUUGGAUCAAAACCUAACGGAUCCAACCUUAAACUUUAUCUACAAGUGACUCUAAAGCUACAAAAUUUCCAUAUACACGACAACUAUAGACAUUCUGUUCUACAUCAUCUGUCUCACUGCAUUCCUCAUCUCCACAUCUUUCACACGUUCCAUUAUCUUAUUCUCUUCAGUCUAACGAUUGAAAAAAUCAUUAUUGGGAUGCUUGAUGAGGGUGCAUGGAGGUGUUGAUGAACCGACAGUAGCUGGUCAUUUAAGGAAUUCCCUAUGUUUCGGUUCUGCCAAGCAAAGCAGCGAUUCCUCACAUACUUUCUGAGCUGAUGAUGGCGGAACAGGCUUGAAGUCUUGCAGCUUUGAAUAUUCUGAAAUGAGGUGAAACAUGUAAUUAUACACCCGAUCCAUGCUUGAACUUUCCAUGAGUUGUUGCCCUUUUUUUCCAUUUCCCUUAGCUUGUUCACCCAAAUUUAUCAGAAAGAAAACAAAAAAGGUAUUUAUACUAUUUGGAAAGCACAAAUAAAAAUCUACUACUCUCUUAGUAUGGUUGAUAAUCAUAAGGGUACACUCAGAAACAAGAAAUCCAGGUUCAGCAAAACCAACAUAUGACAAUUAAAAUUGUUGCAACUGUUAGAAAAAAAAAAAAAAAAAAGAAUUUUGACUUUGAGGAGUGAAAAAUAUUUUCUUAAAAACAAUUAUGUCUUUAAGAUAUAACAAAACCUCAAACUCUCUAAUUAGAAGUAGUGAAAAUAAUUAUACUAAAAAAUUUAUUUAUAAUAAAUGAAUAGAUAUAAAUUUUUAUUCAAAUAAUUAUGACUUUUUGUAUAAUCGUGACCUUUAUAAAUAAUAAUCUAUUUAUAUUCAAAUAAUUGUGAUCAUUUGUCUUAUGAUAAUUAUUUUUGUUCAAACAUAAUUAUUUAAAAUAUGAAUAAAAUUAAUACAAAAGUUAACUUUACUUAUCAAUAAUUAAAUAUUUAUAUCCAAUGUGAAUGGAUCAUAUUCUAAACUACCAAUAAUCUCCCACUAAUUUGAAAUGUUGGUGCUUAAUCUUUAACCUUUCACACAAAUAAUUAUUUUGAUACAAAAAGGUAUCUCUCGAUUUAACCAUUCAAUUAACAUAUAUAUUUU
rnacentral:lncRNA from 1 species